rnacentral:rRNA from 1 species
UGUGUUUGACUAGCUCUGCUUGCCAAACAGGCAUGGCAUCUCCUUGAUAAUCCCGACUCAUUGUGUGCUACUAUUCUAAGGGCCAAGUAUUACCCUAAUGGUGAUUUGCUGAACUCCAAGCCAAAACAUGGUGCUUUUUUCACCUGGCAAAGCAUUAUAGCAGGCAUUACUACUCUCAAGCAUGGCUAUAUUUGGCGAGUGGGGGAUGGACAUAACAUCAAUAUUUGGGAAGAUGUUUGGGUGCCAAAUUAUGCCACUAGAAAGAUUAUGACCCCUAAGGGGGGACAUUUGUUAUCAAAAGUGGUUGAUUUGAUUGACCCAGCCUCCAAUAAUUGGGAUGAGGACCCGAUUAGACAAACUAUGUGGCUCAUUGACACACAAUGGUUUCUUUCAAUCCCAAUUUCGCAACAUAAUAUGACAUAUUUUAUUGCCUGGAGUUAUAUGAAAAAUGGUAUGUUCUCAGUACGGUCUGCUUACCAUGUGGAGUGGAAUUAUCAGUAUGUGAGUAAACUAAAACAUUCGAACGGGAUGGGGCGAACCACACCUAACCCUAUAUGGUGUCAGAUAUGGAAGUUAUCUUGUCCGACAAAUGUCAAAAUCUUUUUAUGGCGGACACUACAUGGCACUCUCCCAUGUCGGGCAACACUCACUAAUAGACACAUGAAGUUCUCGCCUCUUUGUCUUUCCUGCUCCCAGGGUGUAGAAGAUACAAAGCACAUUCUUUUCCUAUGUAUAAAAGCAAAGGAGAUUUGGAAAAGGCUAGGGAUGGAUGUGAUUAUUGAUAAAGCUUGUGAGAUUGAUUGUGCUGGAGAAAAUCUAGCUAAUCUAGCAAAUGUACGAGAAAUGGGGUACCAAAAUGUACGAGAAAUGAUAGCUAUCUCAGCUUGGUAUCUAUGGUGGGAAAGACGAAAAUUAGUGCAUAAGAAAUUAACUCAGAAUGCGACUCAAAUAUCAAUGGGGAUCAUAUCUCUCAUAUAUAAUUUUGUAAAUGCAUCAUCUUCAAAGGCGUCUAUGAAAAGGGGGGGGGGGGUUUGGCACUGUCCUCCUAGGGGCUUCGUGAAACUAAAUGUUGACGUCUCACUAUUUGGGAAAUGCUUAUACACAGGAGUUUAG